rnacentral:rRNA from 1 species
AUAAAUCAUUAAAUUUAUAAAAUUUGGCGGUAUUUUAUUAAAUUAGAGGAACUUGUUUAGUAAUUGAUGAACCACGAUAAGAUAAACUUGUAUAUUUAUGUAUUGCUGUUUUUAGAUAUAUUUUAAUAAUAUUAUUAUAAUUUAAAAAUAAAAUAAUUCAAGUCAAAAUAUAGUAUUAAUAAGAAAUGAGUUACAAUAUUUUAAUGAAAUUGGAUUUAAAAGUAA